CAGUGACAAAGAUUUUUCCAAAUGAACUCUCAAUGCAAGGUAUUCCAUUGCAUUGUUCUUCUGUAGAGACUGCCAGUUUAUUUCUUGCAGUCUUUAUCUCACAUUCUUCUAAGCACAUGCUGUUACCUUUCUUUGUGCUGCUUCAUAUUCCCAUUAUUGCUUCUUCACUCAGUCAGGCCAUUCUGUCAUACACAUUGCACCUGCUUGGAUAUCUCUAAAACUACCUCUGCAAAUCCCUAAAUCUAUUACAGAUGCAAACGAGAGCCUCGCGGUGAGACAAUCUGUCUUUUGGACACCAGCUUGUCAUCAGAAAUCUCACCAUCACUUCUUCACCUGCUCAUGUGGUACCCAGCUGUGCCUUGCUGGCCCUGCUUUUGCCUGGAGUGUGAGAUUUGCUGUUCAGAGUCUUUUAAGUGCCUACAGGGCACAUCUGUGCUUUUUUAUUAAGAGCUACGUUAUGGCUGGGCCUUGCGUGGCUGCAGUGUGGGAGAGAGAGCAAAGAAGUUCCUUUUCCCUUUGCACAGCCCAUCCUGAGACUGCCAAAAAUCACAAACCUCUCCAGAGCCAGGAUUAAUCCUUUGAAAGGAAGAUGUUUCUGCUGCAUGUCUGUCCUGCUGGCCAGGAGAGCUGGCUGACCAUGUGGGAAAGUACCAAAUGACUCCGUUGCAACACAGCCAAGGUGCUCUGGUUGGAAGCCCCUUUGCUGCAGGCAUUGCUUCGCACAGGCUGUCUGUCCCUGGCACACCCUUCUGCUGGGACUGCAGGAGCAGCACGUCCUCUGAUCUCACCCAGGUGCUGUUCUGGGGACACCCAACUCUGCUUUGGUGUGUUUGUGUUGUGCUGGUGCAGAGAGGAUAAAAAGCAAGCACUGAAAUCUGCCUUGAGCUCUCUCAUAGGGCACACACAGCUCCUGCUGGCUGUGAGGUCUGUAGUGUUGUGAGCUGAUCCCAUUUAGUGUCACAGGGAGAUUUUGGGUUGUAAAACUUCCCUGCCUCCCUGGAAAACGUGCAUGCUGUACAUUGCUCUGCUGCAUAACCCGUAUAAAGAUUACCUGCUAGCAAGGUGUUGUUCCAGGAGUGACUUUGGGCUGUGUCUUGCAGGUCAGUGGUGAGCAUCUCUAUGUCUUGAGUUACAGUCCAGCAGAUGAUCAG
rnacentral:lncRNA from 1 species